UUCCUACGGGUGGCUGCAGUGGGGAAUUUUGCGCAAUGGGGGAAACCCUGACGCAGCGACGCCGCGUGGAGGAUGACGGCCUUCGGGUUGUAAACUCCUGUCAGAAGGGACGAAAUCCCGCAAGGGACUGACGGUACCUUCAGAGGAAGCCCCGGCUAACUACGUGCCAGCAGCCGCGGUAAUACGUAGGGGGCAAGCGUUGCUCGGAAUUACUGGGCGUAAAGGGUGAGUAGGCGGUCGGGCAAGUCAAGGAUGAAAUCCCGAGGCUCAACUUCGGAAUUGUUCUUGAAACUGCUCGGCUUGAGGGUAGUUGAGGAGAGUGGAAUUCCCGGUGGAGCGGUGAAAUGCGUAGAUAUCGGGAGGAACACCUGAGGCGAAGGCGGCUCUCUAAGCUACUCCUGACGCUGAAUCACGAAAGCUAGGGGAGCAAACGGGAUUAGAUACCCCUGUAGUCC
rnacentral:rRNA from 1 species